rnacentral:rRNA from 1 species
AGGCUCCGGAUGACUUGUGGAUAGGGGUGAAAGGCCAAUCAAACAUCGUGAUAGCUGGUUCUCUCCGAAAUAUAUUGAGGUAUAGCGUCGUGUAGUAGUUAUAAGGGGUAGAGCACUGAAUGGGCUAGGGCAUACACCAAUGUACCAAACCCUAUCAAACUCCGAAUACUUAUAGCGUAACCACGGCAGUCAGGCGGCGAGUGAUAAAAUCCGUCGUCAAGAGGGAAACAACCCGGACUAACAGCUAAGGUCCCCAAAUCUCAUUUAAGUGGAAAACGAUGUGAAGUUACUGAAACAACCAGGAGGUUGGCUUAGAAGCAGCCAUCCUUUAAAGAUAGCGUAAUAGCUCACUGGUCUAGUGAUUUUGCGCGGAAAAUAUAACGGGGCUAAAAUGAGUACCGAAGCUUUAGAUAGUGUCUAUGAUUAUUUAUACCAAGCUUGUCUCUUUGGCAUCUUUAAAUGAGCUUCAUUUUUUCUCCUGCGGCAACCUACACGGUUAGCCUUAGUCGAAAAAAUAUCAGCAACAUUUAAAUCUGCUCAAAACAAGUGAAACGCUUUUUGCGAAAGCAAAAAUGUUUCUUUGAAAGAUACUUCGCUUCUUGCAUUCAAAUUUAAAUGCAACGUCUUGAUCUAAAUUUUAUAAAUUUCAAAAUUUCUUAGAAUUUUAAAAUUUAGCAACAAAAGCAAAAAGACAAGCCCAAGUAAAGUAUAAAUACUCAUAGACACUGUGGUAGGAGAGCGUUCCAAUCAGCGUCGAAGCCGUACCGGUAAGGAGCGGUGGAGCGGUUGGAAGUGAGCAUGCAGGCAUGAGUAGCGAUAAAAUACGUGAGAAUCGUAUUCGCCGUAAACCCAAGGUUUCCUACGCGAUGCUCGUCAUCGUAGGGUUAGUCGGGUCCUAAGCAAAGUCCGAAAGGGGUAUGCGAUGGAAAAUCGGUUAAUAUUCCGAUACCGAUAUCAGUGUGCGACGGAAGGACGCUUAAAGUUAGUGGAGCUAGCGGAUGGAAGUGCUAGUCUAAGGAAGUAGGUUGAGUUAUAGGCAAAUCCGUAACUCUUUAUCCGAGAUCUGAAAGGCUUCUGACGCUCUUCGGAGUAGAUGAAGAAUCCAUGAUACUAUCGAGCCGAGAAAAGUUUCUAAGUUUAGCUGAUAUCGCCCGUACCGUAAACCGACACAGGUGGGUGGGAUGAGUAUUCUAAGGCGCGUGGAAGAACUCUCUUUAAGGAACUCUGCAAAAUAGCACCGUAUCUUCGGUAUAAGGUGUGCCUAGCUUCGUUAAGAAUUUACUUCGUAAGCGAAGAAGGUUACAACAAAGAGUCCCUCCCGACUGUUUACCAUAAACACAGCACUCUGCUAACUCGUAAGAGGAUGUAUAGGGUGUGACGCCUGCCCGGUGCUCGAAGGUUAAUUGAUGAUGUUAGCUUACGCAAAGCAUCUGAUCGAAGCCCGAGUAAACGGCGGCCGUAACUAUAACGGUCCUAAGGUAGCGAAAUUCCUUGUCGGUUAAAUACCGACCUGCAUGAAUGGCGUAACGAGAUGGGAGCUGUCUCAAAGAGGGAUCCAGUGAAAUUGUAGUGGAGGUGAAAAUUCCUCCUACCCGCGGCAAGACGGAAAGACCCCGUGGACCUUUACUAUAGCUUGACACUGCUACUUGGAUAAAGAUGCGCAGGAUAGGUGGGAGGCUUUGAGUCGUAGAUCUCGGUUUACGAUGAGCCAUUGUUGAGAUACCACUCUUCUUUAUUCGGGUAGCUAACUAGCCUAAGUUAUCCUUAGGUAGGACAAUGUCUGGUGGGUAGUUUGACUGGGGCGGUCGCCUCCCAAAAUGUAACGGAGGCUUACAAAGGUUGGCUCAAAGCGGUUGGAAAUCGCUUGCAGAGUAUAAAGGCAAAAGCCAGCUUAACUGCGAGACAUACACGUCGAGCAGAGACGAAAGUCGGUCUUAGUGAUCCGGUGGUUCUGUGUGGAAGGGCCAUCGCUCAAAGGAUAAAAGGUACCCCGGGGAUAACAGGCUGAUCUCCCCCAAGAGCUCACAUCGACGGGGAGGUUUGGCACCUCGAUGUCGGCUCAUCGCAUCCUGGGGCUGGAGCAGGUCCCAAGGGUAUGGCUGUUCGCCAUUUAAAGCGGUACGCGAGCUGGGUUCAGAACGUCGUGAGACAGUUCGGUCCCUAUCUGCCGUGGGCGUAAGAAGAUUGAGGAGAGUUGACCCUAGUACGAGAGGACCGGGUUGAACCGACCACUGGUGUACCGGUUGUUCUGCCAAGAGCACCGCCGGGUAGCUAAGUCGGGAUGCGAUAAGAGCUGAAAGCAUCUAAGCUCGAAGCCGACUCCAAGAUGAAUCUUCUUUUAAGAGCUCUAGUAGACUACUAGUUUGAUAGGCCGGAUGUGUAAUGGAUGAAAGUCCUUUAGCUGACCGGUACUAAUAGCUCGUUUGCUUAUCUUU